rnacentral:rRNA from 1 species
AACGAACGCUGGCGGCAUGCCUAACACAUGCAAGUCGAACGAGACCUUCGGGUCUAGUGGCGCACGGGUGCGUAACGCGUGGGAAUCUGCCCUUGGGUUCGGAAUAACAGUUGGAAACGACUGCUAAUACCGGAUGAUGACGUAAGUCCAAAGAUUUAUCGCCCAGGGAUGAGCCCGCGUAGGAUUAGCCAGUUGGUGGGGUAAAGGCCUACCAAGGCGACGAUCCUUAGCUGGUCUGAGAGGAUGAUCAGCCACACUGGGACUGAGACACGGCCCAGACUCCUAGGGGAGGCAGGAGUGGGGAAUAUUGGACAAUGGGCGAAAGGCAGAUCCAGCAAUGCCUGGAGAGUGAUGAAGGCCGUAGGGUUGUGAAGCACUUUUACCCGGGAUGAUAAUGACAGUACCGGGAGAAUAAGCCCCGGCUAACUCCGUG